rnacentral:rRNA from 1 species
AUGUUAGAACCAAACAUGUGUGUCAUGUUGUUUGGAGGGGAUCUCAUCCGAGAUAACUAUUCCUUUCGACUUCGUUUUCUUAAUACUGCUAGAACAAAAGAUGUUUGUUUUGAGGACUUCACACUAAUUACCAGUGCCUCUAAAGCACCAUUGUUGGCUUUGCUUCCUUGUAAAACAGAAGUGCAGUCAUGUAUUGAAAUUCCGCUUGGUUCAAAUGUUUCUAGAAAUGAAAGAGUCUUCCUUUAUGUCAUCAGAUGUAUCGAUGACAAAAACUAUGUGCAUUCAAUAACAGAAGGCUCUGUAAAUUUUCCAGAUCCGAGAGAAUUUAUUUGUGAUUGUUCUCCAACGUUCUACUCUUGUUAUGGAGGUCUUGUUUUUGAUAGCUUGGGGAAACUAGUUGGCAUCGGUUUUCAACAUUUUGGCCCAGUUACUUGUUUCCAAGUUGAUCAUAUUCAGGAACUACUUCAACGACUCUCUCCAGGAGAAAGCAUCAGUGACAUUUUAAAAAAUCUGACAAACCUGAAGUUAAAGAGCUCAUAA